AUAUUAUUAUACUUAGAAUUCUCACAAUUCAGGUUUUGGGGAUUGUUUAAUUAAUUUAUUUAACCUCUCGGUUUAAAAAUCCGCAAAAAUCAGAAUUGAAGUGGGAAUUCUUCAAUGCCUUCUCUGAGAUUGAAUUUUUUUGUAAAUGGGCAUUGAUGCAAAACCUGUGAGAAAGAGCUUUUGGGGUUUUAAUCUGAAAAGUAGAUAUUGAAGAAAAGAUAAUUAACUGAAGAGGGAAAUAACAAGCAGUUGGAGGCAAUCAGAGAGUUACUAGCAUAAAGUAAUAUGGACUGUAAUAAAGAUGGGGCCAUUAGAGCUAAA